rnacentral:rRNA from 1 species
GGCGGCGCGCCUAACACAUGCAAGUCGAACGAGAAAGUGGAGCAAUCCAUGAGUACAGUGGCGUACGGGUGAGUAACACGUGGGUGAUCUACCUCUUAGUGGGGAAUAACUUUGGGAAACCGAAGCUAAUACCGCAUAAGCUCGAGAGAGGAAAGUCGAAAGACGCUGAGAGAGGAGCCCGCGGCCGAUUAGCUAGUUGGCAGGGUAAAAGCCUACCAAGGCAUAGAUCGGUAGCCGGCCUGAGAGGGCACACGGCCACACUGGCACUGAAACACGGGCCAGACUCCUACGGGAGGCAGCAGUGGGGAAUCUUGCACAAUGGGGGAAACCCUGAUGCAGCGACGCCGCGUGAGCGAUGAAGCCCUUCGGGGUGUAAAGCCCUUUCGGCAGGGAAGAUAGUGACGGUACCUGCAGAAGCAGCUGCGGCUAACUACGUGCCAGCAGCCGCGGUAAUACGUANGCAGCGAGCGUUGUUCGGAGUUACUGGGCGUAAAGGGUGUGUA